AAAAGAAUAAGUCCCGCAACUUUUAUAUUUCUCUUCGUAAUUAUAUUUAUCUUCAACUACGAAGAGAAAGUGAGAAAAAACAAAUUAAUAAAAGAAAAUGACUAUUUUGCCAAAUAUAAACAUAUAUUUUUUAAAGUGUUAUAUCAUAAAGACCUUAUUGUAUUUUUAAAAAUAUACAACACUUCUCUCUUUCUUCUAAACCAAACAAUAUCUCAAAUCUUGUUUAUUUCAUCUUGUUUAUUUCUUAUAUUUGUCUAUCUUCAUAUACUCUCUCUUAUCUAUUUCUCUCUUGAUCUGAACACAUUAUUAUAUGGGUGUACCAAGCGGCAAAUAACGUCAACUUUAAAACCUCUUUAA